rnacentral:rRNA from 1 species
ACUCCUACGGGGCAGGCAGUGGGAAGUAUUGCACAAUGGGGAACCGUAGCUGCAGCCAUGCCGCGUGUGUGAAGAAGGCCUUCGGGUUGUAAAGCACUUUCAGUCGUGAGGAAGGUAGUGUAGUUAAUAGCUGCAUUAUUUGACGUUAGCGACAGAAGAAGCACCGGCUAACUCCGUGCCAGCAGCCGCGGUAAUACGGAGGGUGCGAGCGUUAAUCGGAAUUACUGGGCGUAAAGCGCAUGCAGGUGGUUUGUUAAGUCAGAUGUGAAAGCCCGGGGCUCAAGCCUCGGAAUUGCAUUUGAAACUUGGACAGACUAGAGUACUGUAGAGGGGGUGAGAAUUG